AUGAGCGCGGCGUCGGAGCAGGAGCUGUCGGUGUCGCUGGUUGGCUCCAACCUGCACGUGUUCACGGUCGCGGAGCUCAAGGCGGCGACGCAGGGGUUCCUGGACGACAACUUCCUCGGCGAGGGCGGGUUCGGGCCGGUCUACAAGGGCGCCGUCGACGACAAGGUCAAGCCCGGGCUCAAGGCGCAGCCCAUCGCCGUCAAGCUCUGGGACCCCCAGGGCGCCCAGGGCCACAAGGAGUGGCUGUCGGAGGUGAUCUUCCUGGGGCAGCUCCGGCACACGAACCUCGUGAAGUUGAUCGGUUACUGCUGUGAGCACGAGAACAGGCUGCUCGUCUACGAGUACAUGGCCAAAGGCAGCCUCGAGAACCAUCUCUUCAAAAAGUUCCCUCCCGUUCUGUCGUGGUCAACCCGGCUGAACAUCGCAGUGGGCGCCGCCAAGGGCCUCGCCUUCCUUCACGAUGCGGAGAAGCCCGUCAUAUAUCGCGACUUCAAGGCAUCCAACAUCUUACUCGAUCCGGACUACAAGGCGAAGUUAUCUGAUUUUGGCCUUGCGAAGGAUGGACCGGAAGGUGACGAGACCCAUGUCUCGACACGUGUCAUGGGCACCCAUGGCUACGCCGCACCAGAGUACAUCCUAACCGGUCACCUGACAGCAAAAAGCGAUGUUUACAGCUUUGGUGUUGUUCUU
rnacentral:rRNA from 1 species